UACAGGGGGUGCAAACGUUGCUCGGAAUUAUUGGGCGUAAAGCGCGCGUAGGCGGCUACUUAAGUCGGAUGUGAAAGCCCCUGGCUCAACUGGGGAAGUGCACCCGAAACUGAGCAGUUAGAGUACGAAAGAGGGUCGCGGAAUUCCCGGUGUAGAGGUGAAAUUCGUAGAUAUCGGGAGGAACACCGGUGGCGAAGGCGGCGACCUGGGUCGAUACUGACGCUGAGGUGCGAAAGCGUGGGGAGCAAACAGG
rnacentral:rRNA from 1 species